rnacentral:rRNA from 1 species
AGAGUUUGAUCCUGGCUCAGGACGAACGCUGGCGGCGCGCUUAACACAUGCAAGUCGAGCGAGAACCAGGACUUCGGUCCUGGGGAAAGCGGCGAACGGGUGAGUAACACGUGAGUAAUCUGCCCUCAGCACCGGAAUAGCCCGGGGAAACCCGGAUUAAUGCCGGAUAGCCCGCCCUCCCCUCGGGGAGAUCGGAAAAGGUAGCUUUGGCCUCUGGCUGAGGAUGAGCUCGCGGCGGAUUAGCUUGUUGGCGGGGUAAUGGCCCACCAAGGCGACGAUCCGUAGCUGGUCUGAGAGGACGAUCAGCCACACUGGGACUGAGACACGGCCCAGACUCCUACGGGAGGCAGCAGUGGGGAAUCUUGCACAAUGGGCGAAAGCCUGACGCAGCGACGCCGCGUGCGGGAGGAAGGCCUUCGGGUUGUAAACCGCUUUCAGGAGGGACGAAGCCACUCGGGUGAAUAGCCCAGAGGGUGACGGUACCUCCAGAAGAAGCCCCGGCUAACUACGUGCCAGCAGCCGCGGUAAUACGUAGGGGGCAAGCGUUGUCCGGAUUUAUUGGGCGUAAAGCGCGUGUAGGUGGCCAUGUAGGUCCGCUGUGAAAACUCGAGGCUCAACCCCGAGCUGUCGGUGGAAACCACAUGGCUAGAGUCCGGAAGAGGAGAGUGGAAUUCCUGGUGUAGCGGUGAAAUGCGCAGAUAUCAGGAAGAACACCAAUGGCGAAGGCAGCUCUCUGGGACGGUACUGACACUGAGACGCGAAAGCGUGGGGAGCGAACAGGAUUAGAUACCCUGGUAGUCC